AAAACAGUUUCACCCAAAAAGCUUCACCUAAAAAAGCUUCACAAAAAAAAAAAACUUCACCUCCAAAAAGCUUCACCCAAACAGCUUCACCUAAAAAAGCUUCACCCACAAAGCUUCACCUAAAAAGCUUCACCUAAAAAAGCUUCACCCAAAAAAAAAAACUUCACCUCCAAAAAGCUUCACCCAAACAGCUUCACCUAAAAAAGCUUCACCAAAAAAAAAACUUCACCUCCAAAAAGCUUCACCCAAACAGCUUCACCUAAAAAAGCUUCACCCAAAAAGCUUCACCUACACAGCUUCACCUAAAAAAGCUUCACCUAGAAAGCUCCCUCUACAUACUUUCACCUACAAAGCUUCACCAUCAAAGCUUCACCUCGAAAGCUUCAUCUACAAAGCUUCAUCUACAAAGCUUCACCCAAAAAGCUUCACCUAAAAAAGCUUCACCCAAAAAAAAACUUCACCUCCAAAAAGUUUCACCUAAACAGCUUCAUCCAAAAAGCUUCACCUAAAAAGCUUCACCCACACAGCUUCACCCAAAAAAACUUCACCCGAAAAGCUUCACUUAAAAAAGCUUCACCUAAAAAAGCUUCACCUACAAAGCUUCACCUAAAAAAGCUUCACCUACAAAGUUUCACCUAAAAAAGCUUCACCUACAAAGCUUCAACACAAAACCUUGCUCCAAAUAAACAAAUUUUGUUCACAAAACCCAAGAUGCCCUUGAACUUGUACAAAAACACAGGUCAACACAAACAUUUGUUUUGUUCUACACC
rnacentral:lncRNA from 1 species